UGUCUCUUUGUUAGUUCAAGAAUUUAAACUAAUCAUUUAUUGAACAUUCUAAAUAUAAUUGUCUUUUACAUUGUUGCAUAUUUUAUUUAGAUUUCAGUGGAAUAUAAUGUCGUUAUUGAUUAAACUACAAAUCCCAGCAUACCUAGCUUUGUCUGUAAGGGACGGAUUGGUUUAACUUCCUCUUCCUAUGAUAGCUGGCCUUGACUUCUGGGAUGUUCUGCAAUCAGCAUUGAGGUACUUCUGUUAGUGAAGACAUUCCUGGGAGUGAGGAGGUUCAUCACCAAGCUUUCAACAAGUUGGCUUCUUUCUCCUGUGAUGUUGCAAGGACCGAAGUUUAGAAGAUACAGGAACCUCCCAAAAAGGAUGAACAAGAACAAAAACGAGAAACAAGGAAAGUUGUUGAAGUGAUGGAAGCAAUGUGAGAAGAGCAUCAAGGCUAAUCUGCACAAGUCUGAGGAACAGGAAAAGGGUACAGAGACUGACAUGUUAGUUUUGUACGGUGGCAUUUUGGAGAUGAUCUUAUUCAAGUGUUGUGAUGUUGGGGGAAUGACGCCGGGUUCUACAGUCACCAAACCAACGCUCACACUUGGGUGAACUCACAUGAUUUAUUUUAUUUACAAUGGAAAGAGUUCAGGGCCACAUUGGGGCACUGUUCCUCGCCGUCAGAGAGCAUGUGCAGUGACAUUGGCGAUCUCAGGCUUGUCCCAGCAGCUUCGUCCUGGUCUUUGAAGGAGGCGGCGUGGCGAUCUCAGGCUUCUUCCUGCGGUUCGCCCUUGUGUCAAGAGAGGUGGCUGACGGCACGAUGGUGACAACUUUUCCUGUGUCAGAGCACCGAGAUCACUCUCUUUUCUUGAAAAUGGUCAUGAUUACAGCAUCACUGAGAUCCUCUGGAACAUCAUCUUUCUGAAUGAGGAUAACGAGACUGUGGAUUUGUGACAGGAGCUAAUGAGAAACUGCUCGACCUAAGGCGACUACACUCCAGAAACCUCAGUAGUCGAGCUGCUGUAUGUCGAUGUUAAAUGCUUUUGGGCGCAAUCACAGGUCAAGAUCCAAGCCAUCAUCAAUUUAUUCACCAAAACUCAUGAAAGGAUGAGUUUUGCAAAACAUCCAAAGGUGCUCAACCAACUAUUCUCUUUUGCAUCUAGCUGCCCUUCAGCACAGGACCAGGCGUUCACUUGGCAGGCUAGCAUUGAUUGGUCAUCACUGCAGUCCUUUUGGCGAAGAUACUCCUGGAAUACUACUGGAGAGGAGUUCCAGGCAUUAGAUCCAGUGACAAUGAUGACAUUUCAAAAUCGUGAAAAUGAGGAGGACAACUUGCUGGUGGUGAUGUUUCCACCCAACUACUUCCCUUGUUGUUCUUGGUGGUAAAGGUCACAUAGUUUUGGGAGGUGAAAGCUGAACACAGCUGGGGGCCUAUGCAAGUUCCCACUUUUGACACAGAAAGUGAGAGGAGGCAAAAGAGAAGUUCUGCCAGCAAGAAGAGUGUUAGUUGAGGGAACUGAUUAGGUCUCCGUUCAAAGAAGAACAGGAGGCCCCUUGAGGCCUUCCUAGCGGGUAAUGGAGAUGCAAAGACACUGGACAUCCAUGGCAAGAUGAGGCAAUGGGGGCCAAGGAAUGGAAAAUUAUUGAAGUGAAGUGAUUCGGAUGUAGGUCUGAAGGGACUGGACAAGAGGGAACAAGAUGGAAUAGAGGUAUUUGCAGUUCAGUGGGGCUGGAGCAAGCAGAAACAAUGGGUCAACUGCCAGAGCAGUCCUGCUAAUGUUAUUGCGGUUGUAGAAGGAAUUGGGAUAGCUUUUAAAGCAAUAAUAGAAACAUAGAAAAUAGGUGCAGGAGGCCAUUCGGCCCUUCGAGCCAUUCAUUGUGAUCAUGGCUGAUCGUCCCCAAUAAUUAACCCGUGCCUGCCUUCUCCCCAUAUCCCUUGAUUCCACCAGCCCCUAGAUCCCUAUCUAACUCUUAAAUCCAUCCAGUGAUUUGGCCUCCACUGCCCUCUGUGGCAGGGAAUUCCACAAAUUCACAACUCGCUGGGUGAAAACGUUUUUUCUCACCUCAGUCCUAAAUGGCCUCCCCUUUAUUCUAAGACUGGUGCCCCUGGUUCUGGACUUGCCCAACAUUAGGAACAUUUUUCCUGCAUCUAGCCUGUCCAGUCCUUUUAUAAUGUUAUAUAUUUCUAUAACAUCUCCCGUCAUCCUUCUAAACUCCAGUGAAUACAUGCCUAGUCUUUUCAAUCUUUCCUCAUAUGACAGUCCCGCCAUCCCAGGGAUCAAUCUCAUGAACCUACGCUGCACUGCCUCAAUCACAAGGAUAAUAAAUUAAUUGUAAACAAAAAAUCAUUAAAGCACAAAAUUCAACAGGAAAAGUGGUCCACCCGUGGCUGAAGGGAGAAAUUAAUAAUAAUAAUAUAUCACGGAUGUCCGAAACAGCAAUAAACCCGAGCAUGCUAAGUAUUUCAAAACCUUGCAAAGGGAAAUAGUGAAAUUGAUCAAGAAAGAGAAGUUGAAUAUCAGAGUAAACUGUUGCAACAUAAAAACAGAAUCGAGCAAGUCUGUAAAAAUGGUAAAAAGGAAAAACUAGCUAGGGCAAAUGGGAUUCCCUACAUAGAGAGGUUAAAGUAUUUAUAACAGAGACAAGGAACUGGCAGACUAAUCACAAAACUACUGCGUACACAGGCAGCUUAAAAAUAAACCUUCAGGAAUACUUAAGAACCAUGGGCCUAGUGAGCAUGAGGAACAAAGGAAAUUAAUAUUUACAAAAAGUUGGAGGCUAAAGCCUCCAUAGGCAUAUGGAUGAGAAGGGAAUGGAGGGUUAUGGUAUGAGUGCAGGCAGGUGGGACUAAGGGAAAAAAGUUGUUCGACACGGACUUGUAGGGCCGAGAUGGCCUGUUUCCGUGCUGUAAUUGUUAUAUGGUUAAAGCCUGAUAAAUAGCAAGGAUCUGUUGAAAUUUGCAGAUCAUAGGUUGGUCUUGAUCAAGAGAGAACUUGACUGCAGGAGUAAAUAUACUUCAAUGACACAGCUUUGUGGAGACCAUUUUCAGAGUAUUGCAGAUAGUCUUAGUUCCUUUCCCAAAAGGUUACAUUUGCUACAGAGUGCAAUGAAGAUUCACUAGUUCAUGGUUAAUGGCAGAUUUGUUGUUUUGCAGAGCGAUUGAGCCUGCAUGCUCCGAAGAAUGAGAAGUGAUCUCAUUGAUAAUUAAGAAAUUCUUGCAGUGGAUGCAGGGAAGACAUUUGUCUUGGCUGUGGAAUCUAAUCAGUCCCAGAAUAAGCGGAAUGAAUUAGUUGCAGUCCCAGAAUAAGGGGAAGGCGAUUUGGAAUUGAAACAAGGAGAAACUUCUUCAGGUAGACUGAAUUUAGUAGCCCAGAGGGUUGGGGAGGCUGAAUCAUUUUAAGUUUGUUCUAAGGAGAUAUGAAUAGAUUUUUAUUUUUUAUUUUUUAAGGGAAUUGAUGGAUAAGUUAAUGCAGAACAAUGGUGCCGAGAUAGAUAAGCGGUUGUGAUACAGAUGAAUGACAGACCCAAAUUGUCUAAUUCUAGACCUCUCCAGCCCUGGCUAGUCUUUUCCUUGUUACAUACGUAUUCAAAAAAAGGAUUUAAAAAAGAACAUGUUGUUCACCAGUCUACCCUUGUACUCUAUCUGACCUUCUUUAAUUUUUCAUGUCAGGCGCAGAUGAUUUAUUUUGUGCCUUAGUGAAAAAACAAAUUGUAAACAAUAUACAUUAUUUUAAGCGCUGGCCAACACGUGGUCUCGCAAAAGUGGAAAUACAAACUCUUCAAAACAUUAAAUGACAAGACGGCACAGGAAUCUUAAAAGUCAGAAACAAACAUUUAGUUAGAAAUAAUUUAAGUUAAUAGCAUUACCUUUUCUAAAGGCUUUGCUGAGACUUUUAAUUUUGUUAUCUUUGCUUCCCUUAUCGCCUUCCAUGUAAGGAAAUACACGUGCCUGGUGGGUCCAAAAGUAGUCAUUUGAUCCAAAGAAAUGAACUGGGAAUUCGCCAAUCUGGUGCUUCAUAUUUUGAAUAUUAGUAGGAACAUUCCUUGGGUGACAUAUCUCUGCAGGCCACCAUCUGUGUUUGGAAACACAUUACAGCUUAUCAAUAGAAUAGAAUAUCUAGGUUAUUGUAACAAGCAAUUUUUGUUUUAUUAAAGAGAUUAGUUAAAUACAUCAAA